rnacentral:misc_RNA from 1 species
GUUCCGGUAGCAAGCGCGCGCGUGUCACGUGACGCGCGUCGUGAAAAUGAACGUACGAUGUAUAUGUAUGCACGGGCAUGAUGACGGUUUGGGGUUAGAAGCCAAUUUGUUUUGUACUGGAAAUUCGACUGAUAGGCGAAAGAGACGCCUGACUGAUGAUAUAAGCGCGGCUGUUUCGUUACAGCGAGUGAAACUUAAAUGAGUGAUAUGUUCGAUUGUCGAGAUAAGGAGUGAAUUUUUUAUACGAUUAUUAUGGGGAGAGUGUGUUGCGUUUUGGGAUGCCCAUCGGGUGGCGAUGCCCCGUCUCAUCAGAUCCCGAAGAACCCAGUCCUCUUCCAGAAAUGGAAGGACAUGAUCUACUCCGAGAAGAUUCAGCACAUGACUGACGAGCAGAUAAGCAAGUGCACCGUCUGCUACCGCCACUUUGCCAGUGACGAUUAUCUGAUAACUUAUCGAGUAAGGAAACUGAAACGUGGCAUCGCACCCUCACUAAAUCUGCCGAACAAACCUGCCAGCAGCAGCAGCGAGCCGGAUGUAGUUAAAACAGAACCAGACACUGAAUCCGAGCCAUUGAGCGCAAGUGCGUCCGUAAAGGAGGAGCGUGUAGAAGGUGCGGGGAGUGGAGAAGCCGCAGCUGGCAUUGCGUUGUUCGAGGACGCUCCGGAGACGCUGGAGCUGCGCUUCGAGGAAUCGCCAGACCGCGUCUCGUCGAACGAGCGCGUCGAGCGAAUCGACCUGGCGACGGAGCCAGAAUUCGAGUCACAUUGCAAAAAGGAAAGAGCAUCGAGGAGAAAACGAGCGAGACUGAAGCAGAAGCAGUUGACGCUACUGCGAUGCAAGAAGCAGGCCGAGCGAUACGAGAGAACGCCUACGAUACAGAGGAUACUGUCGCUGUUGACGUCCGACGAAGUGGCGGCUGCCAAGGCGAAAAUACGAAGGUCGAGAUACCUGCCGAAGGUGUAUGUUAAAGUGUACCACGACAUUGCGAAGAGUAAGGCUCUUUCUCAUAAGACCUGAUGAUUCCGAUUCAUCGACUCGUCGAAUAUCGAAGUUUAAAUACGCCGAGAGGAUCAGACGUCGUUGAACAUACUUAAUUAAAUGAUUUUGCUGGGGCAUGAAUGAAUGCUUGGAUAAGCAUUCUCAAUUGUAUAAGAAAAGGUAGAGCUUGUUUUAAAUGUCUGGCAAUUCUCUGUGCGAGUGGGAAAGAUCCUAAGUGGGCAGAAAUAUUUGAUGCGAAAUCAGUGUUCGAUACAACGUUAGUUUUACUGUAUUUUUAAAAACAAAUACAUGAAAUAUACAUUUAUAAUUAUAUAUAUA